rnacentral:rRNA from 1 species
UACAGAGGUGGCAAGCGUUGUUCGGAAUUACUGGGCGUAAAGGGCGCGUAGGCGGCUUGGUCAGUCCCGUGUGAAAUCCCUCGGCUCAACUGAGGAACUGCACGGGAAACUGCCUGGCUUGAGUUCGGGAGAGGGAAGCGGAAUUCCGGGUGUAGCGGUGAAAUGCGUAGAUAUCCGGAGGAACACCGGUGGCGAAGGCGGCGACCUGGGUCAAAACUGACGCUGAGGCGCGAAAGCCAGGGGAGCAAACGGG